GUCCGCACCGUAAACGAUGAUUACUCGUUGUUGGCAAUAUGACCGUCAGCGACCAAGCGAAAGCGAUAAGUAAUCCACCUGGGGAGUACGCCGGCAACGGUGAAACUCAAAGGAAUUGACGGGGGCCCGCACAAGCGGAGGAGCAUGUGGUUUAAUUCGAUGAUACGCGAGGAACCUUACCUGGGCUUGAAAGUUAGUGACCGGUCCUGAAAGGGAUCUUCCAGCAAUGGCGCGAAACUAGGUGCUGCAUGGCUGUCGU
rnacentral:rRNA from 1 species